rnacentral:rRNA from 1 species
UACGUAGGGUGCGAGCGUUGUCCGGAAUUAUUGGGCGUAAAGAGCUCGUAGGCGGCUUGUCGCGUCGGAUGUGAAAGCCCGGGGCUUAACUCCGGGUCUGCAUUCGAUACGGGCAGGCUAGAGUUCGGUAGGGGAGAUCGGAAUUCCUGGUGUAGCGGUGAAAUGCGCAGAUAUCAGGAGGAACACCGGUGGCGAAGGCGGAUCUCUGGGCCGGUACUGACGCUGAGACGCGAAAGCGUGGGGAGCGAACAGG